UACAGAGGUCUCAAGCGUUGUUCGGAUUCAUUGGGCGUAAAGGGUGCGUAGGCGGCGCGGUAAGUCGGGUGUGAAAUCUCGGAGCUUAACUCCGAAACUGCAUUCGAUACUGCCGUGCUUGAGGACUGGAGAGGAGACUGGAAUUUACGGUGUAGCGGUGAAAUGCGUAGAUAUCGUAAGGAAGACCAGUGGCGAAGGCGGGU
rnacentral:rRNA from 1 species